rnacentral:rRNA from 1 species
UUGAAGCUUGGCUCUGACUUUUAACAUAAUAAAAACUAAAGAAUACACAUGGUUUCUAUUGAAAGGGGCGAGAAGGAAAAAGAAGUAUUUUAGUAUAUAAAAUAAUGAAAUAGUUCUUUCUGAGAAUAUUAUUUUUUAUAAAAUGUUCUGAAUGUUCCGUUAACACCAGUGAUUAAGAUUAAGAUAAAGGCGAAAGCUUGUAUUAGUUUAGUGUAGUUAGGUCUGGUUAACUUGGUGCCAGCAUCCGCGGUUAUACCAAGAGAUCAAGUUAUGUAUAUUAAGGUAAAAAGGCAGUUAAAUACAAAUUAAUUAUAGGUUUAUUCAUUUCUUAUAAAAAGGUAAAAUUUAGAUAUAAGUAAAUAAUUUAGUAUAAAUCAAUUAAGGUUGAAUCUGCGAUAGCCUUGAGGGAAACUGGGAUUAGAUACCCCAUUAUUCUUGGUCGUAAAUAAAUAGAGAUUUACCAGAGUACUAUGAAUCAAUUAAAUAAAAUUUAAAACUCAAAGGGCUUGGCGGUGUUUUAGACCUCUCAGGGGAACCUGUCUCAUAAUCGACAAUCCACGUUAGACCUAACCUCUAUUUGCAAUUCAGUAUGUAUACCGUCGUCGUCAGGUAACUUUUAAAAAGCAAGAAGUUGGCAAAAAAAUUAAUUAAAUUUAGACGUCAGAUCAAGGUGCAGCCUACAUGGAGGUGAGGAUGGGUUACAAUUAAAAUUUAUAAUUACGGAUAGGAUGCUGAAAUUACUUUCCUAAUGAAGGAGGACUUGAAAGUAAAAUAAAUUUAUAUAAAAAUAAUUUGAAUAAGGCUCUGAAACGUGCACACAUCGCCCGUCGCUCUCAUUGAAAAACGAGAUAAGUCGUAACAUAGUAGGGGUAAUGGAAAUUGUUCCUGGAUGAAA